rnacentral:rRNA from 1 species
GACAGGAAGACAGGUGGUGCAUGGUUGUCGUCAGCUCGUGUCGUGAGAUGUUGGGUUAAGUCCCGCAACGAGCGCAACCCUUAUUGUUAGUUGCUACCAUUUAGUUGAGCACUCUAGCGAGACUGCCGUGGUUAACGCGGAGGAAGGUGGGGAUGACGUCAAAUCAUCAUGCCCCUUAUGUCUAGGGCUACACACGUGCUACAAUGGCUGGUACAAAGAGAUGCAAUACCGCGAGGUGGAGCUAAACUAUAAAACCAGUCUCAGUUCGGAUUGUAGGCUGAAACUCGCCUACAUGAAGCUGGAGUUGCUAGUAAUCGCGAAUCAGAAUGUCGCGGUGAAUACGUUCCCGGGCCUUGUACACACCGCCCGUCACACCAUGAGAGUUGGCAAUACCCAAAGUUCGUGAGCUAACCCGUAAGGGAGGCAGCGACCUAAGGUAGGGUCAGCGAUUGGGGUGAAGUCGUAACAAGGUAGCCGUAGGAGAACCUGCGGCUGGAUCACCUCCUUUCUAUGGAGA